ACCAUGUCACCUACCUCCCAAAUCAGAUCUCAGAUCCGCUCCUCUCUCUCACUCUCUUACUCUCUGAUCGCUUCUCACCCUCUCACUUAGACGACGCCAGCCUCCACACUCCCUUCGCACUCUCUCAGAUGUAGCUCUACCGUGAACCUCCUCCACCGCCACAGCCGCCGACCCCACAGCUGCCACAGCUGCCACCACCUCUCCUGCGAAGACGCCGACGCUGCCACCGCUUAUCCUGCGAAAACGCCGACGCUACCACCGCCUUUGCCCCAGCCCUCACCGUCCACUAGCGCAUGCAAGCAGGUUCGUUUUUUUUUUCUUUUUCCUUUUUUUAUAGUUAAUAAUAUAUGUGUGUUUUAUUGUUGUCUUGACAAGAUUUCUCCAGCCUAGACGACACAUUGCCAGUGCCAUCUCCUCCUCCCCUGAUCUGCAGGUUGAUGAAACUGAAAUUUCAAAGUCUGCUGGCUCUACCGAAGGGCAAAAAACUGUGAAAAAGGUCAUUGACUAUUGCUAUGAACUUGAGAUGGAGGAGGGUAGCUCUUAUGAAACAUUAGCCUAUGCACUGCUCUCAGUUUAUUCUCUCAAGGUUCACUGGAGAUAGGUUCUUCACUGGUAUUGAAGUUGCUUGAAAAAGAUGAAGCUUGUUUGUUGAAGCAUCCAAUAGAUGAAGAGUUCGAGAGUUUGUAUAGUAUUCUGAUUAGUAUCAUAAACUUGUAUUGUAAUGAAACUACUACUCGGUUUACAAUUACUAUUUGCAUUUUAAAUUAAAUUUACAGAGCAGUGAUUUUUUUUUA